rnacentral:lncRNA from 1 species
GAACACAUAGCGAAGGCUGACAGAUUAUAUAUAUAUUCACGGCUUUGGCUUAAAGGUUGCUGGUUGACCAAUAAGUAAUACAAGAAGAAAUUGUCUUUUCUGGAAUUGUCCUUCUUUCCAGGUAUCAAUGGUGAGCAGAAGAGGAGCAGGGAUGAUGAAAGACCACACAUUCUCCAAAAGUCACUAAGCACUGUCCACAGAUCGAACAUUCAUAUUUUCAGAUAGUGUAAGU